GGCGCGAUAGCUCAGCUGGGAGAGCGACAGACUGAAGUUUUCUGAUAUCUGCAGGUCCCCGGUUCAAUCCCGGGUCGUGCCA